GCGAGAGCGUCUCGCUGACUCGCUGACCCAUGGACCCGGAUGAGUUGGCGAGCCGCCCCGAUCGGGUCUCCACGAAGCCUAGAGAAAAAGUGCGGGCGGGGCAGAAGUAAACGUCGGCGACCGGCGGGCGGCAGCGCGUUGCCGCGACAGGAUGACGUCAAUUUGGACCGACCCCGACGGUUGUUUCCGCCGCGAAUUCGCGUCCACCGCAGCUAGGAAUUCACCCAAGAAGGGCCGCGGGAAUCCAGAGCUUGCAUGCUCUUGAGAGCCAUAGGUGUAGCCACUCUCCUGUCAUCAUGGAAGGAUGAUGCUUCUGAUUCUAGGUUCUUCAGAUCUCGAUAGGUGAAUGCCGCUUCUCUCAUGGCAUCUGCUUUCUUCUCAGGCCAGUUAGGGAAGUGCUUGAGCACUGCCCUUUCAUCCACAAGUUGUGUAAAAGGAAUUCAGAUGGAGCUCCUUUACCAGCCAGUGGACAUCUUUCAUCUUUGGCUAAUAAGAGACAAGUAAAAGAUUUGAAUCAGAGGAAGAAAAGGAAAUAAAGGGAAAGCCGACCGAUAAUAAAAGGACAAAGAAACUCUGAAUGUGUUUACCUUCUAGAAUACACAAAGAUGUUACAUUCUUUCAGAUUGUAGGUCUUGUUGAAGUAACUGUAAACUUUGUGGAGUAAUGUUUAUAAUUUCUGAUUACCGUU